rnacentral:tRNA from 1 species
GGCCCUAUCGUCUAUCGGCUAGGACACUUGGUUCUCAUCCAAGAAAGCGGAGUUCGAUUCUCCGUAGGGUCA